rnacentral:rRNA from 1 species
AGCGAACGUUAGCGGCGGGCCUAACACAUGCAAGUCGAACGAGAAUGUGGGCUUCGGCCCACUAGUAAAGUGGCGGACGGGUGCGUAACACGUGGGUAAUCUACCUUCCGGCGGGGGACAACAGUCCGAAAGGAUUGCUAAUACCGCAUACGUCAGCGGCGCCCUACGGGCGCUGUUGGGAAAGAUGGCCUCUCCUUGGAAGCUGUCACCGGAAGAUGAGCCCGCGGCCCAUCAGCUAGNGGUGAGGUAAUGGCUCACCAAGGCGAAGACGGGUAGCUGGUCUGAGAGGAUGAUCAGCCACACUGGGACUGCGACACGGGCCCAGGACUCCUACGGGAGGCAGCAGUGGGGAAUAUUGGGCAAUGGGCGAAAGCCUGACCCAGCCACGCCGCGUGAGUGAUGAAGGCCU